AAGUCGUAACAAGGUUUUCCGUAGGUGAACCUGCGGAAGGAUCAUUACUAUGUAUCCCACCGUGCCUGAUUCCAAACAUUAUGUUGGAAUCGUGCGCGGUUAGGGCAACCUCUUCUUUCUCCUAGAGACUGAAUUGGGACACCCACCCAUCCAUGUGAACAUUUGUGCGGCCGGGAAUCUUCCUGUGAAGAGUCCAUGGCUGGCGGUGAGACUUUCAAAUGAGUCCCCGUCAGUUGUGGAGGGCACACAGGCAUUUUAGCUGGGAUUCCCCAUCUUCUAAACAUUCACGCAUUAUUAAGUUUUAUAUCUAGCCACAAAAAGACAUCAACCUUCGGGACGAUGACAAUUUUACCAAUAAAAAA
rnacentral:misc_RNA from 1 species